CUCCUACGGGAGGCAGCAGUAGGGAAUCUUCGGCAAUGGGGGCAACCCUGACCGAGCAACGCCGCGUGAGUGAAGAAGGUUUUCGGAUCGUAAAGCUCUGUUGUAAGAGAAGAACGUGUGUGAGAGUGGAAAGUUCACACAGUGACGGUAACUUACCAGAAAGGGACGGCUAACUACGUGCCAGCAGCCGCGGUAAUACG
rnacentral:rRNA from 1 species